AUGGGCAGAUCAUUGGCAUUCUUGCUGCCAGCUUUGCUUCUUGCUGCCACCGUUGAGAGCCUCCUCACCGUGAGGCCAGACUGCCAGGAGAGCUGCGGUGGAGUCGACAUCCCCUACCCGUUCGGCAUCGGCGCCGGCUGCUUUCGCCUGGGCUUCGAGAUCACCUGCCUCAACAACACCAUGCCGGUUCUGCCGGCUUCCACAGGGGUGGUACGGGUGCUGACCCUGCUGGUGAUGCCGCGCCCGGAGGCCCGGGUGAUGCUACCGGUGUCGUGGACGUGCUACAACUCCGCUGGCAACACCACGGCCGUGUCCCUGGACGGCAGAGUAAACUUCAACAAGGACAACGUGUACCGCAUCUCCAACACCCACAACCAGCUCUUCGUCCUCGGCUGCAACACCUUCGUCUACACCAUGAGCUGGUGCACAGCCCACUGCAACGAUCCCCUGAGCGCCAUGUACACCCUGUACAGCGGGUGCACCACCUACUGCAACGACUCCCGGAGCGCGCAGGACGGCGCGUGCGCCGGCGUCGGCUGCUGCCACGUCGACAUCCCGCCGGGAAUCGGCGACAACCUGAUGAAAUUCGACACCUGGUCGCGCGUCGGCAAGGAGUUCAGCCCCUGCGACUACGCCUUCAUCGUGGAGAAGGGCAGCUACACCUUCCGGGCAGCCGACCUUCAUAUGGAGAAGCACACCAGAUUGCCGCUGCGGCUCGACUGGGCCAUCCGGGACAGCAACGUCAACUCCACUGCCUCCCUGUCCUGCGCCCAGCUGUCUCAGGGGAACAGCACCAGCUGUGUCAGCGACCACAGCGAGUGCGUCGACUCCACCAAUGGCCCCGGAUACGUCUGCAACUGCACAAAGGGCUACGAGGGAAACCCAUACCUUCCCCAUGGAUGCACAAGAUAUCGAUGAAUGUGCACGUCCACGAGAGGAGUUCCCUUGCAAGGGUGAAUGCCGCGACACCGCGGGUUCAUACAGUUGCACAUGCCUUCCAGGUUAUCGGAGUAAUGGAGAUCCAAGAGAAAACCCAUGCAAUCCAUGCUCCAAAAGAGAAAACUGGAUAAAGUAUUUGAAAAGAACGGAGGCAGGAUACUUCAAAAUGUGAAAGGCCUGACGAUUUUCUCAAAGGAAGGAUUAAAGAAAAUCACAAAAAAUAAUUCAGAGUUUCUUGGGAAUGGAAGCUUUGGUAAAGUCUACAAAGGAACUCUUCCUGACAAUACCAUGGUGGCAGUUAAGGCCUCUAUCAAGGUAAAUGAAGCUACAAAACAGGAGUUCGCUGAAGAAGUGGAGAUCCAUUCACAUAUGAUCCACAAGAACAUUCUCAAGCUCAUUGGUUGCUGCCUCGAGGUGGAUGUUCCAAUGUUAGUGUACGAGUUUGCUGCUAAUGGGAGCCUCGGAGACACUCUCCAUGGCAACAAAAAACAAAACCUUCCCUUGGACUUACGUUUGGACAUAGCAAUUGGGUCUGCAGAAGGGUUAAGGUACAUGCACUUGUACACAACUCAAGCCAUACGACAUGGUGAUAUCAAACCAGAUAACAUACUUCUUGAUGACAACUUAACACCAAAAAUCUCAGAUUUUGGGUUGUCAAUGCUUCUUAAAGAGGAAUAUUUUGCCAAGAAGGUGGUUGGGUGCAUGGGUUACAUUGACCCGGUGUUCAUGAAAACUGGGCUCUUAACACAGAAGAGUGACGUCUAUAGCUUCGGAGCUGUUCUCUUGGAACUCAUUACCGGGAAGGAAAAUGUAUAUGAUAAGAACCAUAGCCUCAUCAUCGAGUUUUGCAAAGUUUUUGAGAAAGAAAAGACUGGGAGGGCAAUGUUCGACAAGGAGAUUGUUGCGACCGGAGAAGAUAUCUUUAUCCUAGAAGAAAUUGGUAAGUUGGCUAUCGAAUGUCUAAAAGAAGACAUAGAAGAUCGACCAGAUAUGACGGAGGUAGCAGAACGACUUGUGAUGCUUAGGAGAGAAAGGAAGCUUCAUAAAACUCCCAAUAGAACUCCUAGCCGCUUUGAGGAAAUAAAUAUGGAAUAUUCGCCAAACAAUAUUGACAGAAGUGGACCUAGCAGUGCCACAUGUUCGGUGCCAUCCACUCCAACAAGCAAAGAUUUCGAUGCUAGUCCAUAG
rnacentral:rRNA from 1 species